rnacentral:lncRNA from 1 species
UGCAUCUCCCUCCCCUCUCCUGCUACUCCUCCAUCCUUGUCCCUACUCCCCCCAACAGCCCUGUUGAAUAGUUACCUUCUCUCUAGUCCCCACCUUCAGCCCUCCCACCCACCCUCAGCCAUACCAGGUGAGCCACCAAUCUCAUCGUGGGGAAAGGUUCCCCUACUGCUACCAGCAUUCAGAAGUUCCAGUGCCGUGGGCACCUGGAAACUUGACCUUACAAGGACUGCAGAACCAUGGAGCCAAUACUGAGUGCCUCUCCGUUGACGUCCGUGCUGCCUGGGUCUCGGCAGCUGAUCCUAACUGAGCAGGAAUCCAGAGAGUUCUAGAGAAGUCAGCCCCCUAAGGACACCAGUAUUUCUCGGUUCACAGGGGUGGCCUGGAAGGACCCACUAGUGAAUGAUGGAGACAAUGUGUCUAGAUCUGUGCUGUGGCCACUAUAACUAGUGAAUGAUGGAGACAGCAUUCUAGAUCCAUUCUGUGACCACUAUAACUAGUGAAUGAUGGAGACAAUGUGUCUAGAUCUGUGCUGUGGCCACUAUAACUAGUGAAUGAUGGAGACAAUGUGUCUAGAUCUGUGCUGUGGCCACUUGGAACUAGUGAACACUUGGAACAUGGCUGGUAUGACUAAGAACGGAACUGUGGAGUAAAGCCCUAGCUCUUGGGUGGAAAGAAUACACGUGGACAUGUUGCG